UACAGAGGGGGCAAGCGUUAUUCGGAAUUAUUGGGCGUAAAGGGGCGCGUAGGCGGCUUGGCAAGUGGAUGGUGAAAUCCCUCGGCUUAACCGAGGAACUGCCGUCCAAACUGCUUUGCUUGAGGCCGGGAGAGGUGAGUGGAAUUCCCCAGUGUAGAGGUGAAAUUCGUAGAUAUUGGGAAGAACACCGGUGGCGAAGGCGGCGACCUGGUCUUUUACUGAGCUGAGACGCGAAAGCUAGGGGAGCGAACGGG
rnacentral:rRNA from 1 species